rnacentral:rRNA from 1 species
GGGCCCGCACAAGCGGUGGAGCAUGUGGUUUAAUUCGAUGAUACGCGAGGAACCUUACCAGGGCUUAAAUGCAGAACGACAGAGGUGGAAACACCUCCUUCUUCGGACGGUCUGCAAGGUGCUGCAUGGUUGUCGUCAGCUCGUGCUGUGAAGUGUCGGGUUAAGUCCCAUAACGAGCGCAACCCCUAUUUCUAGUUGCCAGCGGUUCGGCCGGGGACUCUAGAGAAACUGCCAGCGUAAGCUGUGAGGAAGGUGGGGAUGACGUCAAAUCAUCACGGCCCUUACGUCCUGGGCUACACACGUGCUACAAUGGUAGGGACAGAGAGUUGCCAACCCGCGAGGGUGAGCUAAUCUUCAAACCCUAUCUCAGUUCGGAUCGGAGUCUGCAACUCGACUCCGUGAAGUUGGAAUCGCUAGUAAUCGCAUAUC